AAAUUUAGGAUAGCUUAAACCAAAGGCCUUCAAAGCCUUAAACAAGAGUCACCACUCUUAAUUUCU
rnacentral:tRNA from 1 species